AAGCAUUUAGUCCAAGGUAGAGAGGAUAUUUUGAGGCUUUUGAAACUUUUGGGGGAUAAAUGAGAAAGGAAGAUGGAAAGAAAUGGCAUGCUGUUAUUUCUAAAGGUGGGGCUUUUGAGUCUCACCAAGGAGAUCUGAGAGGAGGCUGGGUCAGCACUUGUUGGCACCAUGCCUGUGCGGCAAUAAUCCCACACUUCCUGAAGGAGGCAGGAAGGGUUUCUCCUGCCUUUGAAGAAGAAGGAGGCUUCUGGGUUUCUGCUGCAGCUUCUUCCUUCUAGAGGAGCACUGAUAUUAAAACAGUCCUGCUGAUGGCUGAGGACCCGUUCCGUUACCUCCACUCACUUGUCACUGCCUCUGCUGCUUGCUGCAAAAGGAUCAAAGAUCCAGUGAGAGACAGGAAAAUAGAGAUGAAGAGUAAGGAGCUGAAGAUCUUUGGACAAUCUCCUGAGUGACAGAGGCAAGUGAAACUGCCAGUGGGUGGUGCAUGGGCAUCUCUAAUGCUUGCAAAUACAAGCCUAGUGCUGCCCUUGCCCGCUGCAUGUAUUCUAUUUAUACCACAGCAGAGGGAGCGUUGGCAAAGCAUCUAGGAGGAGCAACCUUUUGUUAUACCUAGAGUUGCUCCCUUCUCUAUUAGUGCAACCGACACAAAAAGAAUCACAAUAAUAAGGAUCGUGCGGUUAAUUGAUUCACUGUCUUGUGAUCAUGCUGCAGCCAACUCGGCCACAGCCUGGUUAUUGCAU